rnacentral:rRNA from 1 species
UGGGGAAUAUUGCACAAUGGGCGAAAACCUGAUGCAGCAACGCCGCGUGAGUGAUGAAGGUCUUCGGAUUGUAAAGCUCUGUCUUUUGGGACGAUAAUGACGGUACCAAAGGAGGAAGCCACGGCUAACUACGUGCCAGCAGCCGCGGUAAUACGUAGGUGGCGAGCGUUGUCCGGAUUUACUGGGCGUAAAGGGUGCGUAGGCGGAUGUUUAAGUGAGAUGUGAAAUACCCGGGCUUAACUUGGGUGCUGCAUUUCAAACUGGAUAUCUAGAGUGCAGGAGAGGAGAAUGGAAUUCCUAGUGUAGCGGUGAAAUGCGUAGAGAUUAGGAAGAACACCAGUGGCGAAGGCGAUUCUCUGGACUGUAACUGACGCUGAGGCACGAAAGCGUGGGUAGCAAACAGGAUUAGAUACCCUGGUAGUCCACGCCGUAAACGAUGAGUACUAGGUGUAGGAGGUAUCGACCCCUUCUGUGCCGCAGUAAACACAUUAAGUACUCCGCCUGGGAAGUA